rnacentral:lncRNA from 1 species
CCAUGUCAUAGAUCUUCAAGUGCUGCCAUCUUCUUCUAGAAUGUCUAUAUCAGGCUUCUUAAAAUUUGAUGACUGUAAAAGUGAUUAUUAGUUAGACAAAUGAUAUAUUUAACUUUUAUAUUCAAGUCCAUUUAAAGAAAAAAUUAGUUUACCUCAUCUUCAAGAUCAGUGUCACUCAACUGUGCACAACAUCUAGAGUAAGAUGUUGGCGAUUAAUGUGCUAACAAUAAAUAAAACUAGUUAGCGGUAAAGAAAUAACAAAAAUAAUUAUGAAAAACACAUGAAAUUGUAUUUCUCGUACCAUGAAUGUCAGCUUCUACCAAUCUCUAGCACACAUCAAAGCCUCUAAAGUCUUUGAAUGAAGCCUAUUUCUAUGUGGACUAAAAAAUCUACCACUGGUACUAAAUGCAGACUCUGACGCCACUGUAGAUAUUGGGAUAACUAAAAUAUCUCUUGCAACUUUUUGGAAAGAAUGAUAUUUUGUUAAAUUUGCUAUCCACCAUGCCAAUUCGUCAAAAUCAUUCGAUCUAGGUAAUAGAGGCUCGUACAAGAAAAUAUGAAGCUCUGACUUCAUAUUGUUAGUACUAGUGGUAUUACAAACAAAUAAAUCAAAUUGUGCCAACCGAUCUUUUUGCUUAUAAAAGUAGAUGCCUCAGUGUGGGUAGAAGAUUAAGUCACGUUCCCACUUGAUCCAUGUCUUGUUUUGUACACAUUUAGCAACUUGUGACAAAAUUUUCUAAUUUUUUUAAUCUCAAGAUCCGAAAAUUCAUUUUCAUAAAUCAUUGGAAAAUAAUAUUCAACCAACUUCAUUUUAAAUCUUAAAUCCAACACAUUAGCUACUACUAGAAUUCCAUGAAUCUCACUCCAAUAUUUUUCAAACUUGUCAAUCAUACUUGAAGCCAUCAUUUUGAUUUCCUCAAAGGAAGAUUGCAUCCAAUCGUAAAUUGACAAAUUUAUAUACCCGCACAGAACUGGGAGCAAAAGCAACCGCACAAAGUAACUUGAUAAGACUGUAAAAUAUAAUAUUUUUCCUUCGUAGUUAUUGCAUUCGUGUGAUUAUUUGGUACCAAAAUACACUCAUUAUACUUAUAUUUUGAUUCAGGAUGCAUUUUAAUAGAAAAGUUGAAAGUCAGAAGAAAAGAACGAAAAAGGAUCAAAGUGGAAGAAAAUGAAAGUUCACGGACUAAAGUACAAAUACUCCAAAC